CAGCAGCCACGGGAAUACGUAGGGUGCAAGCGUUAAUCGGAAUUACUGGGCGUAAAGCGUGCGCAGGCGGUUAGAUAAGCCAGAUGUGAAAUCCCCGAGCUCAACUUGGGAACUGCGUUUGGAACUGUUUAACUAGAGUGCGUCAGAGGGGGGUGGAAUUCCGCGUGUAGCAGUGAAAUGCGUAGAGAUGCGGAGGAACACCGAUGGCGAAGGCAGCCCCCUGGGAUGACACUGACGCUCAUGCACGAAAGCGUGGGGAGCAAACAGGAUUAGAUACCCCUGUAGUCCCUGUCUCUUAUAC
rnacentral:rRNA from 1 species